rnacentral:rRNA from 1 species
UAAGCGACUAAGCGUACACGGUGGAUGCCCUGGCAGUCAGAGGCGAUGAAGGACGUGCUAAUCUGCGAAAAGCGCCGGCGAGGUGAUAUGAACCUUUGACCCGGCGAUGUCCGAAUGGGGAAACCCAGUGCAAUUCGUUGCACUAUCGUUAACUGAAUACAUAGGUUAACGAGGCGAACCGGGGGAACUGAAACAUCUAAGUACCCCGAGGAAAAGAAAUCAACCGAGAUUCCCCCAGUAGCGGCGAGCGAACGGGGAGCAGCCCGGAGUCUGAAUCAGCUUGUGUGUUAGUGGAACGGUCUGGAAAGUCCGACGGUACAGGGUGAUAGUCCCGUACACGAAAGCACACAUGCUGUGAACUCGAAGAGUAGGGCGGGACACGUGGUAUCCUGUCUGAAUAUGGGGGGACCAUCCUCCAAGGCUAAAUACUCCUGACUGACCGAUAGUGAACCAGUACCGUGAGGGAAAGGCGAAAAGAACCCCGGCGAGGGGAGUGAAAAAGAACCUGAAACCGUGUACGUACAAGCAGUGGGAGCCUCUUUAUGGGGUGACUGCGUACCUUUUGUAUAAUGGGUCAGCGACUUAUAUUCUGUAGCAAGGUUAACCGUAUAGGGGAGCCGAAGGGAAACCGAGUCUUAACUGGGCGUUAAGUUGCAGGGUAUAGACCCGAAACCCGGUGAUCUAGCCAUGGGCAGGUUGAAGGUUGGGUAACACUAACUGGAGGACCGAACCGACUAAUGUUGAAAAAUUAGCGGAUGACCUGUGGCUGGGGGUGAAAGGCCAAUCAAACCGGGAGAUAGCUGGUUCUCCCCGAAAGCUAUUUAGGUAGCGCCUCGUGAACUCAUCUUCGGGGGUAGAGCACUGUUUCGGCUAGGGGGCCAUCCCGGCUUACCAACCCGAUGCAAACUACGAAUACCGAAGAAUGUUAUCACGGGAGACACACGGCGGGUGCUAACGUCCGUCGUGAAGAGGGAAACAACCCAGACCGCCAGCUAAGGUCCCAAAGUCAUGGUUAAGUGGGAAACGAUGUGGGAAGGCACAGACAGCCAGGAUGUUGGCUUAGAAGCAGCCAUCAUUUAAAGAAAGCGUAAUAGCUCACUGGUCGAGUCGGCCUGCGCGGAAGAUGUAACGGGGCUAAACCAUGCACCGAAGCUGCGGCAGCGACGCUUAUGCGUUGUUGGGUAGGGGAGCGUUCUGUAAGCCGUUGAAGGUGUCCUGUGAGGGGUGCUGGAGGUAUCAGAAGUGCGAAUGCUGACAUAAGUAACGAUAAAGCGGGUGAAAAGCCCGCUCGCCGGAAGACCAAGGGUUCCUGUCCAACGUUAAUCGGGGCAGGGUGAGUCGACCCCUAAGGCGAGGCCGAAAGGCGUAGUCGAUGGGAAACAGGUUAAUAUUCCUGUACUUGGUGUUACUGCGAAGGGGGGACGGAGAAGGCUAUGUCAGCCGGGCGACGGUUGUCCCGGUUUAAGCAUGUAGGCGGAGGUUCCAGGUAAAUCCGGUACCUUAUUAACGCUGAGGUGUGAUGACGAGGCACUACGGUGCUGAAGUGAUAAAUGCCCUGCUUCCAGGAAAAGCCUCUAAGCAUCAGGUAACACGAAAUCGUACCCCAAACCGACACAGGUGGUCAGGUAGAGAAUACCAAGGCGCUUGAGAGAACUCGGGUGAAGGAACUAGGCAAAAUGGUGCCGUAACUUCGGGAGAAGGCACGCUGAUGUGUAGGUGAAGUCCCUGCGGACGGAGCUGAAAUCAGUCGAAGAUACCAGCUGGCUGCAACUGUUUAUUAAAAACACAGCACUGUGCAAACACGAAAGUGGACGUAUACGGUGUGACGCCUGCCCGGUGCCGGAAGGUUAAUUGAUGGGGUUAGCGGCAACGCGAAGCUCUUGAUCGAAGCCCCGGUAAACGGCGGCCGUAACUAUAACGGUCCUAAGGUAGCGAAAUUCCUUGUCGGGUAAGUUCCGACCUGCACGAAUGGCGUAAUGAUGGCCAGGCUGUCUCCACCCGAGACUCAGUGAAAUUGAACUCGCUGUGAAGAUGCAGUGUACCCGCGGCAAGACGGAAAGACCCCGUGAACCUUUACUAUAGCUUGACACUGAACACUGGUCCUUGAUGUGUAGGAUAGGUGGGAGGCUUUGAAGCGUGGACGCCAGUCUGCGUGGAGCCAACCUUGAAAUACCACCCUUUAAUGGCUGGUGUUCUAACGUAGACCCGUAAUCCGGGUUGCGGACAGUGUCUGGUGGGUAGUUUGACUGGGGCGGUCUCCUCCCAAAGAGUAACGGAGGAGCACGAAGGUUGGCUAAUCCUGGUCGGACAUCAGGAGGUUAGUGCAAUGGCAUAAGCCAGCUUGACUGCGAGCGUGACGGCGCGAGCAGGUGCGAAAGCAGGUCAUAGUGAUCCGGUGGUUCUGAAUGGAAGGGCCAUCGCUCAACGGAUAAAAGGUACUCCGGGGAUAACAGGCUGAUACCGCCCAAGAGUUCAUAUCGACGGCGGUGUUUGGCACCUCGAUGUCGGCUCAUCACAUCCUGGGGCUGAAGUAGGUCCCAAGGGUAUGGCUGUUCGCCAUUUAAAGUGGUACGCGAGCUGGGUUUAGAACGUCGUGAGACAGUUCGGUCCCUAUCUGCCGUGGGCGCUGGAGAAUUGAGGGGGGCUGCUCCUAGUACGAGAGGACCGGAGUGGACGCAUCACUGGUGUUCGGGUUGUCAUGCCAAUGGCACUGCCCGGUAGCUAAAUGCGGAAGAGAUAAGUGCUGAAAGCAUCUAAGCACGAAACUUGCCCCGAGAUGAGUUCUCCCUGAGACCUUGAGUCUCCUGAAGGAACGUUGAAGACGACGACGUUGAUAGGUCGGGUGUGUAAGCGCAGCGAUGCGUUGAGCUAACCGAUACUAAUGAACCGUGAGGCUUAACCU